GGCGAGUUGGCAGAGUGAUUAUGCGGUCGAUUGCAAAUCGGCAUGACGUAGGUUUGAAUCCUACACUCGUCUCCA
rnacentral:tRNA from 1 species